AGUACGCUAUGUGAAUCAUCGAAUCUUUGAACGCACUUUGCACCUCCGUGGCUUCUGUCACCAGGUAUACUUGUUUGAGUAUCCAAAACUCUCUCUACUCCCUUUCGGGGCGAGUAGGAUCGUAUGAGAUUCGAUAAGCUUUUAGCGAGUCGUCUCUUUAAAUGAGAAGCGUCUACUCUCUUUCACUAGAGAGAGCCAUACCUCUGUCCGGCUGGGCAUCUCAGGAGGAUUGGGAUAACAUCCUAACAAUCUUCCCGAUGUCAACUUAAGGCAUAGACAUUGGUAUAACGGCUGAUGCAAUCGGUUGUCUUGGCGACUUUGGACACCUCUGGUGCACCAAAAUCUCUUUCACGAGAGACCUGCUUUGACUUUACUCAAGGAUCUCAAAUCAAGUAAGGAUACCCGCUGAACUUAAGCAUAUCAAUAAGCGGAGG
rnacentral:rRNA from 1 species